AACGAACGCUGGCGGCAGGUCUAACACAUGCAAGUCGAGCGAGACCUUCGAGUCUAGCGGCGGACGGGUGAGUAACGCGUGGGAAUAUGCCCUUCUCUACGGAAUAGCCUCGGGAAACUGAGAGUAAUACCGUAUACGCCCUUCGGGGGAAAGAUUUAUAGGAGAAGGAUUAGCCCGCGUUGGAUUAGGUAGUUGGUGGGGUAAUGGCCUACCAAGCCUACGAUCCAUAGCUGGUUUGAGAGGAUGAUCAGCCACACUGGGACUGAGACACGGCCCAGACUCCUACGGGAGGCAGCAGUGGGGAAUCUUAGACAAUGGGGGAAACCCUGAUCUAGCCAUGCCGCGUGAGUGAUGAAGGCCUUAGGGUUGUAAAGCUCUUUCAGCUGGGAAGAUAAUGACGGUACCAGCAGAAGAAGCCCCGGCUAACUCCGUGCCAGCCGCCGCCGUAAUAC
rnacentral:rRNA from 1 species